CCCCGGGAGCUUCCACCUGAGUGGGUGGUGGGGUUCUGGGGCGCUGCUAUGGAGGGGUGUAGCGAGCCACAGCUGGAUGCUAAGGCCAAGGUCACCAACCAGGUGAGUGAGUGGCCAUCCCUCGCGGCCUCCGCCGGCCUCGGCUGGACAAGUGGCGGGCGGCUGCACCUGGUCCUCCGCCCGCCUCUGGCAGCCGCGGGACGAUGCCACCGUGAGCCUUCCCAGCUCAACCCCAAACCAAGGCCCAUGUCCGUGAGCCCGUGCCUUUCCUCCCGCCACCCUGCAUUGCUCCUUCCACUUGGCUUCUGAGCUAAUAGAUUUUCAGUGGAAGCUGGGUAUGGCUGUGAGCUCAGACAGCUGCAGAUCACUUAAGUAUCCUUACGUUGCAGUGAUGCUCAAAGUGGCAGAUCAUUCAGGCCAAGUAAAGAACAAGUCCUUCGAAAUGACAAUUCCACAGUUUCAGAAUUUCUACAGACAGUUCAAGGAAAUUGCUGCAGUUAUUGAAACUGUGUGAAAACUGAUUACUUUGUUGAUGAAUUGCUACCAUCAUUCUAAAAUCAUGAACUUUACUUUCUGCAACAAAACUGCCUAAGGAUCAAAUGAUAUUUAUUGAAUGAAAAUUAUACUUUUGAUUUUCCAUUUUUUUAAAUAAUAAAAAAGAAAAUCAGACAAACAGGAAUUACAAAGUGGUGAUCGCUGCACACUUUGUGAAUAUACUAAGAGCCACUGAAUUGGAAACUUUAAAGGGUGAAGAACUCUGUGCUCUCUCCCGUGUUGACUGCUGGAAACGAAGAAAUCUGAGAUAGGGAAACCAUAGGAUGGAGCCCUGGAAUCACGAUUGGAGGCAAACUCAUAGUAACAGCCUGACUUGCACCAGACAGUGAUGUGAGCUAGAAACAAACUCUUGUGGUAAGCUUAGAGUGUUUGUUAACAACAGCAAGUGAGCAUAAACUUGAAUAACACAAGAUAUUUGUAUGAAGAUUUUUAUUGUAGCAUUUCCCCAAGCGGUGAAAAGUAAAAUAAAGGGAGCAGUGACUGUCAAUAAAGAAAUGGUUGAAUAAAUUCAUCAUAUCUAUGUUACAGCAUAUCAUAUACCUGCCGUUAUCAAUAUGUAGUAACAAUACAUUUGCUAUUAUCAACACAUAUUGUUGUUUCAUAAAACUGAAAAAUGCACUCAAUAUAUAUUUGAAUUCUUAAUGGAAAAUUAGGAAAAUUAAGGAAAGAUGUUUACCAUGUUGUAAGCAUUGAUGGAGAGGGUAUCUGGAGAGGGAGAGGAAGAGCAGUUAAAAAAAUAUUUUUCAAAUCCAUA